UAGCUGCGAUACUUAGUGCGAACUGCAGAUAUUUUGAGCACUGAGGCUUCCAAUGCACAUUGCGCCAUCGGAGCAACACCUUUGGCACAUCUGGUUCAGGGUCGUCUAAUCAAAACGAACGCCUCUUCGUUCACACGACGGGAUCACUGUGCUCAGUGUUCCCGUCUCUUGUCGCUGCCAUGGGCUGCUGCCUGCUCGAUUGCGGCACAGCCCAGGGCAGCCAAGUGUUGUGGGAGCCGCGAUGCGCUCGCCAGCUGGCGGUAGUCAAUCACAGCCGUUCGAUUGCUCCGCUGCGCUUGUUUGGCUGAGCGGCGCAUAGCAGAGGGCUCCUCGCUACAGCGACCUGAACUCAGGUGAGAUCACCUGCUGAACUUAA
rnacentral:misc_RNA from 1 species